GGGGGUGCAGCUUAGUGGUAGCGCAUUUGCCUAGCAUGUGGGAGGCCCUGGGUUCGUUCCCCAGCACCACCA
rnacentral:tRNA from 1 species